GAUUUCUGGCUUGGCGCGCGCGGUCCGCUAGGGUUUCCUGGUGUGUACCGUUGUGCGCCUGCCAUCCUGUGGGUUUUAGGUGCUAUCCUUCACUGGGUGGUGCUUAUAUCUCACUCUUUUACUUUGAAAAAAUUAGAGUGUUCAAAGCAGGCUCGCGCUCUGAAUACAUUAGCAUGGAAUAAUAAUUUAGGACUUCUGUUCUAUUUUGUUGGUUUCUAGGAUGGAAGUAAUGAUUGAUAGGGAUAGUUGGGGGUGCUAGUAUUCAGCGGCCAGAGGUGAAAUUCUUGGAUUCGCUGAAGACUAACUUAUGCGAAAGCAUU
rnacentral:rRNA from 2 species